rnacentral:rRNA from 1 species
GCUCAGGAUGAACGCUGGCGGCGUGCUUAACACAUGCAAGUCGAACGAAUCCUUCGGGAUGAGUGGCGGACGGGUGAGUAACGCGUGAGUAUCUGCCCAAAGGUGGGGGACAACCAUUGGAAACGAUGGCUAAUACCCCAUAUGCCGAGAGGUGAAAGGUUUACUGCCUUUGGAUGAGCUCGCGUCUGAUUAGCUAGAUGGUGGGGUAAUGGCUUACCAUGGCGACGAUCAGUAGCUGGUCUGAGAGGAUGAUCAGCCACACUGGGACUGAGACACGGCCCAGACUCCUACGGGAGGCAGCAGUGGGGAAUUUUCCGCAAUGGGCGAAAGCUUGACGGAGCAACGCCGCGUGAGGGAGGAAGGUCUUUGGAUUGUAAACCUCUUUUCUCAAGGAAGAUAAUGACGGUACUUGAGGAAUCAGCAUCGGCUAACUCCGUGCCAGCAGCCGCGGUAAUACGGGGGAUGCAAGCGUUAUCCGGAAUUAUUGGGCGUAAAGCGUCCGUAGGCGGCCAGAUAAGUCUGUUGUUAAAGCGUGCAGCUCAACUGCAUACCGGCAAUGGAAACUAUUUGGCUAGAGUGUGGUAGGGGUAGAGGGAAUUCCCGGUGUAGCGGUGAAAUGCGUAGAUAUCGGGAAGAACACCAGUGGCGAAAGCGCUCUGCUGGGCCACAACUGACGCUGAUGGACGAAAGCUAGGGGAGCGAAAGGGAUUAGAUACCCCUGUAGUCCUAGCCGUAAACGAUGAACACUAGGUGUUGUCUGUAUCGACCCGGACAGUGCCGUAGCUAACGCGUUAAGUGUUCCGCCUGGGGAGUACGCACGCAAGUGUGAAACUCAAA